UACGAAGGGGGCUAGCGUUGUUCGGAUUUACUGGGCGUAAAGCGCACGUAGGCGGAUCGUUAAGUCGGGGGUGAAAUCCUGGAGCUCAACUCCAGAACUGCCUUCGAUACUGGCGAUCUUGAGUCCGGAAGAGGUGAGUGGAACUCCUAGUGUAGAGGUGGAAUUCGUAGAUAUUAGGAAGAACACCAGUGGCGAAGGCGGCUCACUGGCUCGGUACUGACGCUGAUAUGCGAAAGCGUGGGGAGCAAACAGG
rnacentral:rRNA from 1 species